rnacentral:lncRNA from 1 species
AGAACGCACUGAAAAACUACCAAUGUCUUCUAUUCGCAAUGUUAUAUCUGAGCCUAUUGAAGGCCAUGAAGAAUAUCACAUAUUGGCUCUUCAAUUGGGGCCAACUGAAGCUUCACGCUACUGGAUGUACUGGUUUCCAGCUCAAUAUGUUGAUGCUGUGAAAGACACCAUUUUGGGAAAAUGGCAGGUAUUAUAACAAAAACCUAAAAACGUUUCCAAAAUAAAAGUUUUCUGCAGGUUUGAUAUUGGUGCACUUCAACAAAGAGUGAUCAAAUUAAAGAAAAUGUUUAGUUAACCAGAUUUCACAGUUUAAAAGACAAACAUUGAGUUAUAUGAAAUAGUUAUUAGGAGACAAUAUCUUCUCCAUGUUAAAAUAUUUUUUAUACAAUAUAUUAAUAAGAAUAGUAUUUUCGUAUAUUUUA